rnacentral:rRNA from 1 species
UAAUUUGGUCGCUUUUUUCUAGCACCGGAGGUAUGAUGGGGCUCAGCUAUGCGGGAUAGGAGGGAUUGGCCGAGAGCAGAGGGAGUCUACGUCGGUGGGCGACUUAGCUUAGCGCGACGGUCCGAGCAGGCGGAGCGGCACCGACGCAGGGAGGGGCCUACCGCCGCUGCUACCUCCCUCGGUGACCGCGACCGGUCCGAGGGCCGGCUACCUGCGCGGCCCAACAGCGAGGAGGCCCGGUCGGGGAGGGCGGCACGACGUAGUGCACCGCCGCAUCCCUUGGGAUUGGUCGGGGGCUAGAAGCGUAGAGAGGGACUUAGGGAGGAGGAGGUGCUCGGCGCGCACACGAAGAGAAGAGGGUGUACGACGAGGAGAGGGAGGGGUUUAGCCGUACCUAGAGCGUGACGACCUAGGGGAGGAGAGGGAGGGACUGAACAGCACUUAGAACACGACGCUCUCGACGAGGAUAGGGAAGGGACCGGCGGUACCUAGACCGGUCCGUGGUAACCUCCUUCGGGUUGUAAAUACGAUCCGCCACAUAUGUCCGACCAUGUAACGUGGCCCACUUCCCACGUCUAGUACAAGGACUCUCGUAGGUUUUGUAUACCCUCCACGACGGGCCUCGACACCCUCCUGGCGCAGCACUCUGGAGCCACUGACGCCUGUACCAGGUCCCAUCCACGAUUACCUCUCAACCUCCCACUUACCCUCUCCACUAUCGAUUAAUACCAAACUGAAAUCAUUAAUAUAAACAAGGAACAAGCAACGGUAAAACAACACGAUUUACAUCAUACACUAGAUCUCCUAUAAAUCCAUAGUCUAAUCAUUGUCACGUCAUCGUAGUCUGUGAACCACAAAAGAGUACACUAUAUAGAUUCACCAUUAGUCAACAUGUUGAUCUGUUUACGUUUACAGGUAUCAUUAUUUGAACACCAGUGUUUUGACGACGAAUUUCAAACAAGUUAAUACCUUUACCCGUAAAAUCAAGACGAGGAAUUAAAACAAGUUAAUACAUUUGCGUACCCGUGCGCUACGGCAAAGGAAUGGAGUGUUUUAGUUUGACUUCCGUAGGUUAAGACCACCAUUAUUGACUAGUGCACAUAACGGUAAAAAUGUCUUGUUAAAUAAGAGGAUGAGAGGUCUCUAGACUAGUAUUGAUAGAACGAGUAAACUACAACAAUACAAACAAUGAGACAGAACCAUCUUUGUCUAUAAUUCCUCUCCGUGAGGUUCUCUAGUACACAUUCAUGUUAACUCAACACUCAAAAGAAAAAAUGUGGUAACUAUAUUAAAAUUAUAAAUACUACUAACGUAUACCUAUAUAUCGAUAAAACAAAUGGAACACUUUAUCAUGGUUAGAAUCUUGUACGAGGAUUAAGUCCAUUUUGAUACCUUUUACUUACCCAUCUAUCUAAAACUCUAAACCAGGAAGAUAACUGGUUAGCAUAUCUAAUACUAGGAUAUCUCAAUCUCAACAAUUAAUACAAUAAUAACCACAUCAAUUUUGGAAGUCUGUCGAUUACCAGAACAGUAGUACAAAAUCAUAACUUGACGUCUUAUGACCUCGGCAUCAAAGGCGGAGUACGAAAGAGGGAACAUUCCUCCUAUCGGCCCCGCGCCACGCUCCUAUCGACGGCGAAGUAGGCUCCUACGCGGACGACUGCCUACAGCGCAGCUCAGGUACUGCCUGGAGAAACACGUUCCGUAGUGGAGGAGGGAAGUAGAGAAGAGAUAAGUCGGGCCAGCCUCACUCGUACGUGCACGUAAGGAUGCAUGACUUUACCAGCAAGGGCACGCAGAGGUUCCAACUUGUUUAUACCAAAACAAAUUGACCACCGAUCGAAAAAGAAUGAUUACCUUGGACGUCGAGCCUUGUGUGACGUGGGGCCACUACCCUUCAGGCCUUGUUGAUAGUUACGUCCUCUGCUAGUCGACAAGACGUGACCUAGCCCUUCUAGUCACAAACGGUCGCUCUCCCGAUAUUCCUCCCGGUCCCACAACCAGUCCCUCCUCGACAUCUUCUGACCAUAGUUCACUUCACCCUCGAAUACACUGGUUAAAAACCAAACGUCAUCAGUUUGAUAAGGUAACAAGCAAAGACAUACAUGACAUUACCCUAUCACCCUACUGGUCACUGCUGCACGGACUACGUUUCCCUAUUACUCUCUUUACCUGGGAGGUAAAUCUGCGUCUCACACAUGUCAUGGUACCGGGUCACAAGGUUUGACCUAGUCCUUUUCGCCAGAACAACCCGUUACGAAGUUACGUGUUCCGUACUCGAUAAAAUCCUCGACCUCCCUCUACCCUAUGACUGCUAAUAACUCUCGAUAACCUAAUAACUCUCAACGGUAAACACUUUUUUAUGUUAUAAAACCUCCCGUAGAGACUGUCCUAUGUGUAUGAAGGCCUACGUUAUCAAAGACUUCGUCGUGGGGACUUCUUUCUACUAUACCUUAUGCGGAACCUAUAGAUGGUAGGGUUGGCAUAUUAGUCUUCUUAUUAUGAAUUGACAGGAUGUAAACGAUGUUGGGAGACCUUUUUUAAGAGAACUUCCCUUCACGUUCAAUAUACAACUACCACCUCCACACUUAGAAUGGUCGCUACACAUAAGAAGGAAAUGAUAGGUAUACUUUCACUCCACGAAUUACGCGUUCGGAGAUAGUUGUCUCGUGGCGUCUCGAGUACGUUUCUGGUACUCCUCGUCGUGACGACCUGCCUUGUCUUUGUUGUUACCACUACAUCGAAGAAUAAGGGGUAUGAGCAUUGUGCCACCUCCCGCUGUUUGUUACAUUGACUACCACCGUCACCACCACAUCCCCUCCUCGUAUACCUGGUAUGUUAGAUCCUCAGGACUAGCGUUCGACACUAAGACGGUACAAUAGCCACGAACUCGCGGCAUACUCCCACUUCUUGUAAUGGAAUAGUUACACAGAACGUACGGUGGGCAAUGGAACUCAGGAGCCAUAUAAUCCCAACAUUACAAAACAAAUAAGUUACCUAAGAACCGGCAGGACAUCGAUUAAGGUAGGUCAUAAGCAAGAUCGUUCACAAAACCAGACCACACAUUAAAACCCGGACGACACAACGGUAUAGGGAAAAAAAUUUGGCCUAGACGGUCCGCUACACAGUGACCAAGGGACCAGCUUGGAGGCCAGCACUACCAAACCAUCUCUACGUUAAACAUUUUAAUGAAUUGAUUCAACCCAAACUAUUUCGCUAGUGUUUCUUCUACGUC